CAAUUGUUAUUAUAUAUUGUUUUAAAAUGCGAACUAAUAUAUACUGCAUUAUCUCACAUUCUUUCCAUUUAUAUCUAGAGUUCAGGAAUGACGAUCCAACGUCUUUGGAGGUUUUGCGUACUUGUUUUAGUUUUAGAUAUUCGGGUAGACGGAGCCAUGACAUGGAAUGGACCCCCUUCAUCCCGAUCACCUAGAGUUGAUUUAACUCAAUCGGAGCCAUGCUUUAAUUCUGUUACUAGUUUGAAUAUAAACAACGCCGAAGGGACAUUACAAUACAGCUUGGUGAGUCAGAAUCCUGACGGGCAGUUUACUAUGGUCGGGCACAGAAUAUAUUGUAAUGAGCUUGUCAUUCGAACCAACGGCUACUCGAGUUAUUCCCUGACCGUGAGCGUAUACGAUGGCACAACCACACUUACCGACACGUUUACAGUUACAAUUAUUGGUUUGACAA